UACGUAGGGGGCCAGCGUUGCUCGGAAUUACUGGGCGUAAAGGGUUCGUAGGCGGUGUGGCAAGUCGGGCGUGAAAUCUCUGGGCUCAACUCAGAGGCUGCUUCCGAAACUGCCAUGCUUGAGUGCGGGAGAGGCGAGUGGAAUUACAGGUGUAGCGGUGAAAUGCGUAGAUAUCGGGAGGAACACCUGUGGCGAAAGCGGCUCACUGGACCACAACUGACGCUGAGGCGCGAAAGCUAGGGGAGCAAACAGG
rnacentral:rRNA from 1 species